rnacentral:rRNA from 1 species
CCUACGGGAGGCUGCAGUGGGGAAUAGUGGGCAAUGGGCGCAAGCCUGACCCAGCAACGCCGCGUGAAGGAAGAAGGCUUUCGGGUUGUAAACUUCUUUUCGCAGGGACGAAGCAAGUGACGGUACCUGAGGAAUAAGCCACGGCUAACGACGUGCCAGCAGCCGCGGUAAGACGUAGGUGGCAAGCGUUAUCCGGAUUUACUGGGUGGAAGGGGCGUGUAGGCGGGACUGCAAGGCAGAUGUGAAAACCACGGGCUCCACCUGUGGCCUGCAUUUGAAACUGUAGUUCUUGAGUACUGGAGCGGCAGCCGGAAUUCCUAGUGUAGCGGUGAACUGCGUAGUUAUUAGGAG